rnacentral:rRNA from 1 species
UUAGUUGGUGGAGUGAUUUGUCUGGUUAAUUCCGUUAACGAACGAGACCUUAACCUGCUAAAUAGUUACGCAAGCCUUCCACACCGUCCGGCGUUUCCCGGGGGCAACUUUGGGGGGCGUCGGGUGGGAACGGCUUCGCGGCCAACUUCUUAGAGGGACUAUUCGCGUCUAGCGAAUGGAAGUUUGAGGCAAUAACAGGUCU